CAGGACGUAGCUAAGACAGAAAAGCAUCUCCCUUACACUGAGAAGUCGUCUGUGCAAAUCAGACCGCCCUGAC
rnacentral:tRNA from 1 species